GGUGGUGAGCAAAUUACACUGGUAAAAGUACAGAGAUUGUGCUUGAAGACUGAGAUUAGGAGUACAUCGACUCCUAGAACUGUGAGUGGACAAUUUAUAGUCUUAAAUAUCUAGAGUAAUUAUACUUAUUUGAUGCUUUUAUUGAAUGGUGAGUUUAAAUUAUAAAAUAUUAUGUUUUCCAAUUAAAAUGUUUUUUUAAUAAAAAUGAGAUUUAUGCUAGUUUUGAAAUCAAAUAUUGUUUUGGGAAAAUUGAGUAUGUGGAGACUGUGUUGAAAUUUAUGAUUUUAUAUGUUAUUGAAAUUGAGGCUUAUGACACUAUGGUAGCAUGAUGGCUAAAUUUUUAGGGUUGGCAUGAAAUAUAUGAACAAUUUUAGAUUGGUCUCGGUAGACUGUAUUAAAUUUUAUUCGCCAUAUUAUGCUACUGGAAAUUUUAUGGGUAUGGUGGUAUAUAAAACGGUCACUGCAGUGGUGAGGGUUUCCGUGGACUACCUAUGAGAGGGGUACGGUAACCCAAUUAUAUACUUACCUCUAAAGGGAGAUGUUGGGUGAAGUAUCUCUUGAGGUAAGACUUGAGUGCGCCUCACGUUCGAACCACCACGUGAGAGUGAGAUUCAGCCAACGCCAAGGAACGGCUGUGUGUCAGAUGUGAAAACAUGUUUAUGGGUAUGGGUCAUUAAACAACCUUGGCGAUCUUAGUGGGAUACCUUGACGAAGGUACCCGUGAGAAUGAUUCUGGCAGGGGCCAAGUUUAAGAAAUUCAUAAGCCGAGAAAUUUUGAUGAAAAGAAAUUGUUUGGUAUAGAUUGAAACGAAAUUUGUGUUAUGAACAUUAUUGAGAUAUAACGUUUUUAUAUUGUCUCCAUCUACUCGGCUUUAAAUGCUUUUGAUGGUAAUUGUUUACUCACUGAGAUUAUGUAAUCAUAAUCUCAUCCCUCUUCCUAUCCAUUUUUCAGGCUCAGGACAGUUUGUUGAUAGUUGAUUAAGACGAGAAUUAAUCUCGGAGUUGCAUCCUAAAAAGUAAGGGUUCAUAGCCCUACAUCUUCUUAGUUAGUUAGGGGCCCACGUGUCACUGUAAAAAUAAUUUUAUUCUUCAGUUAUUUUGUCACGACCCGACACUCUCUUCGAGCUCGUGACAACCGCC
rnacentral:lncRNA from 1 species